GAUGAACGCUGGCGGCGUGCCUAAUACAUGCAAGUCGAACGGAAAGACGCGGAUCUUGCUGCUUUCACGUUUGGGGAGGAGGGGUGAAUCACGCGAGUAUAACCUCCUUAUCAUUGUGGGAUCUCUUCGGGAAACCGGCGAUUAUCCCGGAUGAUCUCUUGAUCCACGUGGUUCAUUGGUGAGUGACGGUUUUGCUGUAUGUUCUAGCUGGAUACCCGCCGGUUGAGCUUGUUGGUAGGGUAAAGGCUUACCAAGGCUACGCUGCGUAGCCGACCUGUUUGGGGGGUCGCCCACCUUGGAACUUGGACACGGUCCAGACUCCUACGGUAGGCAGCAGUAUGGAAUCGUCCGCAAUGGUCGAAAGCCUGACGGAGCAACGCCGCGUGUGUGAUGAAGGUCUUCGGAGCGUAAAGCCCUGUUAUUGGUUAAGAACAAAUUUCUAAUUAACUAUGCACUUCGUGACGGUACCUAAUCAGAAAGCCACGGCUAACUACGUG
rnacentral:rRNA from 1 species